UUCGUAGCUCAUUUGGUUAGAGCGAUAUUCAUUUAAAAUAUAUGUAGUUGGUUCGAUUCCAACCGAGA
rnacentral:tRNA from 1 species